GGUUAUCGGUUCAAGGACGCAAGGUGACCCUUGUUUUUUCAAGGGAAGAAGGGGUAGAGAAAUACCUCGAGCCAAUGUUUGAGUACAAAGCACUACAACGCUGAAGUAACCCAUGCCAUACUCCCAAGAAAAGUUUGAAUGACCUUCAACAAAUGGGUAUCUGUACAUGAAAAUGACACAAGUAGGUAGGUAGAGAAUACCUAGGGGCACAAGGAAAAUAUCUCUAAGGAACCCAGCAAAAUAGUGUCGUAACUUCAAGAGAAGAGGUGCCUCCUCAGGAGAUCGAAUGACCAUACCUGGGCGACUGUUUACCAAAAACACAAGUCUCUAGAAGGUCAUAAGACCAUUUAUGGGGGUUGACGCCUUCCCAAUGUUGAAAGGUUAAGGAAUUUGGUGACCUAAUGAUGGAGAAACUAGCGACCGAAGCCUUGGUGAAUGUCGGUUGUAACUAUAACAGCCCUAAGGUAGAAAAAUCCCUUGUUGGGUAAGUUUCGACCCGCACAAAAGGCGUAACAAUCCGGGCAUUAUCUCAAAGAGAGGCUCGGUGAAAUAGACAUGUCUGUGAAGACAUGAACUACCUGCGCUUGAAAAGACCCUAUGAAGCUUUAAUGUUCCUUGGGAUUGUCUUUGGGUUCUUCUUCCUCAACUUAGGUGGUGGGCGAAGAAGGCACCCUUCCAGGGGGGCCUAAGCCACCAGUGAGAU
rnacentral:ncRNA from 1 species